AUCACAUUGGAACAUCUAUUCUCAUACGAUCACCGAAGUUAAGCAACGUCGGACCUAGUCAGUACCUAGAUGGGUGACCCGCUUGGGAAUACUAGGUGCUGGAA